rnacentral:lncRNA from 1 species
AAAAAGAAUUUUGUACUAUAUCCCUUAUCACCUUCACAAGUGGUAAAGGAUCAAGUACAAAAGAAAAAAAAAAGAUGAAAAAAGAGAGUAGAAAAUCAAGAAAAAACCCUUAAGGAAAAAGAGGCAUGGAAAAAGAGUGUUCCUUCCCACAAGGUCAUUUAGAAAGAAGAAAAAUUUGAAAAUAAAAUUCAAAAGAUACUUCUUUCUGAA